AAAAAAUUAAAACAUAACUAGGCCACAUAUCAAAGAACAAUGUACAAUAGGAGACUUGAAUUUCUCAAUGGUAUCAGAAAAAAGGUAUUUCCAUAAAUAACAUUUACAAUUCUAGUGUUAUGUUUUUCAAGGUAUCUGAAGCUUCACAGUGCUAGAAUAAUUUUCACCAGAA